rnacentral:rRNA from 1 species
UACGGAGGGUGCAAGCGUUAUCCGGAUUCACUGGGUUUAAAGGGUGCGUAGGCGGAUAGGGAAGUCCGUGGUGAAAUCCUGCAGCUUAACUGCAGAACUGCCGUGGAUACUCUCUAUCUUGAAUAUCGUGGAGGUUAGCGGAAUAUGUCAUGUAGCGGUGAAAUGCUUAGAUAUGACAUAGAACACCCAAUUGCGAAGGCAGCUAACUACGCGAUCAUUGACGCUGAUGCACGAAAGCGUGGGGAGCAAACAGGA